UACGAAGGGGGCUAGCGUUGUCCGGAAUCAUUGGGCGUAAAGAGCGUGUAGGCGGCUCGGUAAGUCCGCUGUGAAAGUCCAGGGCUCAACCCUGGAAUGCCAGUGGAAACUGUCGAGCUAGAGUCCGGAAGAGGCGAGUGGAAUUCCUGGUGUAGCGGUGAAAUGCGCAGAUAUCAGGAGGAACACCAAUGGCGAAGGCAGCUCGCUGGGACGGUACUGACGCUGAGACGCGAAAGCGUGGGGAGCAAACAGG
rnacentral:rRNA from 1 species